CCUACGGGAGGCAGCAGUGAGGAAUAUUGGUCAAUGGACGAAAGUCUGAACCAGCCAAGUAGCGUGAAGGAUGACUGCCCUAUGGGUUGUAAACUUCUUUUAUAUGGGAAUAAAAUGUUCCACGUGUGGGUUUUUGUAUGUACCAUAUGAAUAAGGAUUGGAUAACUACGUGCCAGCAGCCGCGGUAAUACGGAGGAUCCGAGCGUUAUCCGGAUUUAUUGGGUUUAAAGGGAGCGUAGGUGGAUUGUUAAGUCAGUUGUGAAAGUUUGCGGCUCAACCGUGAAAUUGCAGUUGAUACUGGCAGUCUUGAGUACAGGAGAGGUGGGCGGAAUUCGUGGUGUAGCGGUGAAAUGCUUAGAUAUCACGAAGAACUCCGAUUGCGAAGGCAGCUCACUGGACUGCAACUGACACUGAGGCUCGAAAGUGUGGGUAUCAAACAGGAUUAGAUACCCCAGUAGUC
rnacentral:rRNA from 1 species